rnacentral:rRNA from 1 species
AUUGAACGCUGGCGGCAUGCUUUACACAUGCAAGUCGAACGGUAACAGGCCGCAAGGUGCUGACGAGUGGCGAACGGGUGAGUAAUGCAUCGGAACGUGCCCAGUCGUGGGGGAUAACGCAGCGAAAGCUGCGCUAAUACCGCAUACGAGCUAUGGAUGAAAGCGGGGGACCGUAAGGCCUCGCGCGAUUGGAGCGGCCGAUGUCAGAUUAGGUAGUUGGUGGGGUAAAGGCUCACCGAGCCAACGAUCUGAAGCUGGUCUGAGAGGACGACCAGCCACACUGGGACUGAGACACGGCCCAGACUCCUACGGGAGGCAGCAGUGGGGAAUUUUGGACAAUGGGCGCAAGCCUGAUCCAGCAAUGCCGCGUGCAGGAAGAAGGCCUUCGGGUUGUAAACUGCUUUUGUACGGAACGAAACGGUCCUGGUUAAUACCUGGGGCUAAUGACGGUACCGUAAGAAUAAGCACCGGCUAACUACGUGCCAGCAGCCGCCGUAACAC